AUUUUAAUAGCUUAUUUAUUAAAGCAUAAUAUUGAAGAUAUUAAGAAGAAUUUUUCUUAAAAUA
rnacentral:tRNA from 1 species